UACGUAGGGUGCAGGCGUUAAUCGGAAUUACUGGGCGUAAAGAGCGCGCAGGCGGUCGAUCAAGUCGCGUGUGAAAGCCCCCGGCUCAACUGGGGAGGGUCACGCGAUACUGAUCGACUCGAAGGCAGGAGAGGGUAGUGGAAUUCCGGGUGUAGUGGUGAAAUGCGUAGAUAUCCGGAGAACACCAGUGGCGAAAGCGGCCACCUGGACUGACACCUGACGCUGACACGCGAAAGCUAGGGGAGCGAACGGG
rnacentral:rRNA from 1 species